GCAUGUUGUCUACCCCAAUUCCUUUGUUGAUUGCCUUUAUGUCUUUUGCUGACAUUUUUGUAAAGCCAAUCGCAAGAGCAUGCUGUUUUCCUUCAGCCAUUAUAGCCACAGGAGUUUCUGCUUCCACUUCUUCAUCCAAAGCACCACCUGGAGAUGUAAGUCCAGGACACAUUAUGUUUGCACCAGCAAGGACAAAUUUUAUUGCACCCCUGUCUACUUGUAACUUUUUCAUUAUGUUUGGAUAUUGAUGAAGAAGUCGUAGGGUAGGCAUGUAAGGCCCAUCACGGACAUUAAAAAA
rnacentral:misc_RNA from 1 species